rnacentral:rRNA from 1 species
UACGGAGGGGCAAGCGUUGUUCGGAAUUACUGGGCGUAAAGGGCGCGUAGGCGGCCUGCUAAGUCGAACGUGAAAUCCCCGGGCUCAACCCGGGAACUGCGUCCGAUACUGGCAGGCUUGAAUCCGGGAGAGGGAUGUGGAAUUCCAGGUGUAGCGGUGAAAUGCGUAGAGAUCCGGAAGAACACCGGUGGCGAAGGCGGCCUGCUGGGCAGUAGCUGACACUGAGGCGCGACAGCGUGGGGAGCAAACAGG